rnacentral:rRNA from 1 species
AGAGUUUGAUCAUGGCUCAGAUUGAACGCUAGCGGCAUGCUUAACACAUGCAAGUCGAGCGGCAGCGCGGGGCAACCUGGCGGCGAGCGGCGGACGGGUGAGUAAUACGUAGGAAUCUGCCUUGUAGUGGGGGACAACCCGGGGAAACUCGGGCUAAUACCGCAUAAUCUCUAAGGAGGAAAGUAGGGGACCUUCGGGCCUUACGCUAUAAGAUGAGCCUGCGUCGGAUUAGCUAGUUGGUGGGGUAAAGGCCUACCAAGGCGACGAUCCGUAGCUGGUCUGAGAGGACGAUCAGCCACACUGGGACUGAGACACGGCCCAGACUCCUACGGGAGGCAGCAGUGGGGAAUAUUGGACAAUGGGGGAAACCCUGAUCCAGCAAUGCCGCGUGUGUGAAGAAGGCCUUCGGGUUGUAAAGCACUUUCAGUGGGGAAGAACCAAUUCAGAGCUAAUACCUCUGAGUCUGACAUACGUACAGUAGAGA